rnacentral:rRNA from 1 species
UACGAAGGGGGCUAGCGUUGUUCGGAAUCACUGGGCGUAAAGCGCACGCAGGCGGGUCGUUAAGUCAGGGGUGAAAUCCCGAGGCUCAACCUCGGAACUGCCUUCAAUACUGGCGAUCUAGAGUCCGGAAGAGGUGAGUGGAACUCCUAGUGUAGAGGUGGAAUUCGUAGAUAUUAGGAAGAACACCAGUGGCGAAGGCGGCUCACUGGUCCGGUACUGACGCUGAGGUGCGAAAGCGUGGGGAGCAAACAGG